CUGUGCCCCCGUUGGAGCCGUUGACCUCUAAGCCUGAGCUCUUCGCACUGGGCAUCCCCAGCUGUCACCCUGCUUGAUCCAAUGGGCAACAGAAAUGCUGAGGUUCACACAGAAAAUAAGCCAAGGGAGCACUGACAAUUACAGGUGGAAAAAGCCAUUUUUGCAAGGAGCCACAAGAGGACCUUCUGUGAACAGCACAAAUGAACAAAUCUGGCUUUGUAUGACAGCAAGUUGACAAAACAGCAGCAAAGCUGAGUUCAUGUUCUGGCUCUGUCUUGGACCAGAGAAGGUGCUGUGACCACCUGUCAUGCCGGGCACUGGCAGCAGCCUUGGUUCCUGUUCACCCCAUGGUUGGGAGGGGAAGCAACCCGUAGCUUACCU
rnacentral:lncRNA from 1 species